rnacentral:snoRNA from 1 species
GGGUAAUGAACAUUGAGAUGGUCAUGCACCACUAUGAUUGUCUCUGCUGAUAAAUCUUGUGCCCAUGUUUCCCUGAGCCC